rnacentral:ncRNA from 1 species
CAGAGUAGGUGCCGGAGCGUACAGUGUCCGCGGGACGGGGAGUUGCCCGCGGAACGAAGGUCCUUCCGCGAUUCCGGCGCCGCAUCCCGCUGU